CUGAGAGGAUGACCAGCCACACUGGAACUGAGACACGGUCCAGACUCCUACGGGAGGCAGCAGUGGGGAAUAUUGCACAAUGGGCGCAAGCCUGAUGCAGCCAUGCCGCGUGUAUGAAGAAGGCCUUCGGGUUGUAAAGUACUUUCAGCGGGGAGGAAGGGAGUAAAGUUAAUACCUUUGCUCAUUGACGUUACCCGCAGAAGAAGCACCGGCUAACUCCGUGCCAGCAGCCGCGGUAAUACGGAGGGUGCAAGCGUUAAUCGGAAUUACUGGGCGUAAAGCGCA
rnacentral:rRNA from 1 species